ensembl:lncRNA novel transcript
AGACUGUACAAAGUAUAUCAAGAUAUGCCAAAUAUUGAGCUUAACUUCACCUGUUUGAGAGACGCUUGCAACACCAUGAAAAAAUUACUGAGACACUAGGAAUGCUGUGAACUGAGAAAGUUUGGGACCUUUGGCAUAACUAAAUCCUUCAUUUAACAGUGUUGUGAACCACUUGUCAUGGGAUAACCAAAAUUAAACCUGGAAUCGCAGAAGAAACAAAUUUUUUGAAGAAAUUGGAUGUACUUUUUUAAAAUUUUUCAUUCAACUAAAACUUUGUUAACUGUUUCUUGGUUGUGGUCUUCUCUAAAUUGUAAUCUUUGGCAUUCACUUCCAAAGUAUCCACCACUAAACUUCAUAACAUUUAUUGUGUCUCUUCAUCAUUAAACUUUGAUGAAUUUACAGAGUGUCUUUUGAAAUUAUGUUCUUGAGAAAGGUAAGUUCCCUAAAAAUCCCACCACCUCAGGAACAGAAUUUUCUAAAACUGUUGUAUCUACCUAAGUUACCUAUUUUUGUCUUUUGUCUGGAGUCCACUUGUCCUCAAAACAAAAUUAAUGUUGUAUUCCCUUUUGGUCAAGGACACAUUAAACAUUUCGUGCAGCAUGCACAUUUUUCAGGGAUGUAGAAUCAUAAACAAUUAUUUUUAUACACUUCUUAUGACAUAGGGUGACUUUUACAAUGUGCUGUGCUAUUUAAAGUUAAAUGUUCACCACUACAUAUUGUACCUGUGAAAAGAUUAUAGGUUAGCUUUGAUAAUUUAAAAUAUUUUUGCUACAGCCAGUAGCUCUAUUAACGAUGAUAUGAAACUCUGACGUUGUUGUGAUUACAUUGUAUUUUUUCAUAUCUGUUAUGUGAUAUAGCAACCAACAUAUUAGUUAUAAUAAUAAUUAGGUAAUGAGUUCACACAGUUAUUGGAUGGAGUGCUGUGUCCAUCCCUAGGUGUUUGUUAUUGUAGUGAUACUUAUAAGAAGUACAGCUUGGUGUACCUACAUUAGCGCAAAUUUCACUAGUCAGGAAAAUGUGGAUAAAGUGGUCCCUUUGAUUCAUUAGCCCUAUACGAAGUAUUUUGAAAAAAAUAUUUUAACAGAUUUGUAUCCUCUUUCCAUAUCUCAUAUAAACUGUAAUUAUUUUUAAUUCCCCCAAAUGAAUGAAAGCCAUCUUUACCAUUCGAUUCUUUAAAAAAAAAAUAAGAAUUAGUAUUUAUCGAUUACAGGUCCUGUGCACUUUACAUACUUUCUUUAAUUUAGUCUUACAACAAUGCUAUGUAAAAAGUACUUUUUGAAAAAAUGAAAUAAAAUUUAUGUACCAUAACAUUUAUCACUUUAGUGUUCAGUUCAGUGGUUUUUAGUAUAUUCACAAGAUUACGAAGCUAUCGGUACUAAUUCCAGAACAUUUUCAUCAUCCCAAAAAGCAGCUCCAUACUCACUAGCAGUCACUACCCAUUCCUCCUUCUGCCAGCUAUUAGAAAACGCUGAUCUAUUUUCUGCUUCUGUGGAUUGGCAUAUUGUGGAAAUUUCAUAUAAAUAGGCUCAUAAAAGGCUGGAUGGGGUGGCUCAUGCCUGUAAUCCCAGCACUUUGGGAGGCCACGGUGAGCAGAUCACUUGAGGUCAGAAAUUCAAGACCAGGCUGGCCAGUAUGGUGAAACCCUGUCUCUACUGAAAACACAAAAAUUGGCCAGGCAUGGUGGCGGGCGCCUGUAAUCCCAGCUACUCAGGAAGCUGAAGCAGGAGAAUCGCUUGAACCUGGGAGGCAGAGGUUGCAGUGAGCCAAGAUCGCACCACUGCACUCCAGCCUGAGUGACAGAGGGAGACUCCAUCUCAGAAAAAAGGCCGGGGUGGGGGUGGCUUAUACAAUAUAUGGUCUUUUUUUAUUAGCUUCAUUCACUUACCAUAAUGUUUUCAAGGUUCGUCUAUGUUGUAGCAUGUAUUAAUACUUCAUUUUUUAUGCCUGAAUAUUAUUUCAUUGUGUAGAUAUACCGCAUUUGUCUAUUCCCUUCAUCAGUUGAUGGGCAAUUGGGUUGUUUCUAUUUUUGGCUAUUUUGAGUAAUGCUGCUAUGUAUAUUUAUAUACAAGUUUUGGUGAGAACAUGUAUUUUCAUUUCUCUUAAGUAUAUAUCUAGGAAUAAAAUUACUGUGUUAUAUGAUAACUAUAUGUUUAACUUUUUGAGGAACUGCCAAACUGUUUUCCAAGUGGCUAUACCUUUUUACAUUCCCAUCAGCAACAUAUGAAAGUCCAAAUUUUUCUACAUCUUUCCCAGCAUUUGUUAUUGUUGUCCUUUUUAUUGUAGUAGGGAUAAAGUGAUAUUUCAUUGUGGUUUUGAUUUCCAUAAUAUGAGCAUGUUUUCCUGUGUUUAUUGGCCAUUUUUUAUUGUCUUUGGAGGUAUGUUUAUUCAAACUCUUGGCUCAUUUUUAAAUUCGGUUAUUUUAUUAUUGAGUUGUAGGAGUUACUUAUACGUUCUGGAUACUAGACUCUUAGAUAUGUGAUUUGCAAAUAUUUUCUCCCAUUCUGUGGGUUUUCUUUAUACUCGACAGUGUAAUUCUUUAUAUCUCGACAGUGUUCUUUGAUGCACAAAAGUUUUUAAUUUUGAUAAAGUCCAAUUUAUGUAAUUUCUAUAAUUGCUUAUGCUUAUCACUGCUUGUACUUUUAUCAUUGUCCAAUUUGUCUAAUUUUUUAAAAUCAUUGCUUAUUUCAUCAAUUUUAUGUCGUAUUUAAGAAACCAUUGUCAAAACUGAAAUCAUAAA